UGAGCAGGAGGUCACUUAUUCAACAGUGAGAUUUCAUAAGUCUUCAGGGUUGCAGAACCAAGUGAGUACUGAGGAGACUCAAGGGCCCAGAGAAGCUGGCCACAGACUCCUUAUGAGCAUUUUUUAUAUUAUGUCUGUGACUAAUUUAGUUUUUCAGUGUAGUCAACAAAAAAAUGAACUGCAGGAAAUUCUAAACCGCCACCAUAACUGCAGCAUCAUGCAAAGUGACAUCAGCUUAAAGGAAGAACUGCUGAGAAAUAAGUCUAUAGUGUGUGGUCUAGGCUCAUAUGGUAUAAAAUGUCAUUAUUUCAUCAUGAACAGAAAAACAUGAAGUGCAUGUAAACAGACCUGCCAGAAUUCCAGCUUAUCCCUUCUGAAGAUAGAUGAUGAGGAUGAACUG
rnacentral:lncRNA from 1 species